rnacentral:rRNA from 1 species
GACGAACGCUGGCGGCGUGCUUAACACAUGCAAGUCGAACGGAAAGGCCCUGCUUGCAGGGUACUCGAGUGGCGAACGGGUGAGUAACACGUGGGUGAUCUGCCCUGCACUUCGGGAUAAGCCUGGGAAACUGGGUCUAAUACCGGAUAGGAGCCAUUUUUAGUGUGAUGGUUGGAAAGUUUUUUCGGUGUAGGAUGAGCUCGCGGCCUAUCAGCUUGUUGGUGGGGUAAUGGCCUACCAAGGCGGCGACGGGUAGCCGGCCUGAGAGGGUGGACGGCCACAUUGGGACUGGGGUACGGCCCAGACUCCUACGGGAGGCAGCAGUGGGGAAUAUUGCACAAUGGGCGCAAGCCUGAUGCAGCGACGCCGCGUGGGGGAUGACGGCCUUCGGGUUGUAAACUCCUUUCGCUAGGGACGAAGCUUUUUGUGACGGUACCUAGAGAAGAAGCACCGGCUAACUACGUG